GUAGAAAAGACCCUUGCCCCUUUGUAGAGGGAUUAUACAUCCAAGGGCUGAUUCAAGAAGUUGCAUCUUUUUUCUCCACUCACUACUCUGCAAUCUAGAUCCACUGUUCCCUCCCAGAGAAUGAGAAAAAAGCAUCCCAUUUCCUGGAAUAAUCCUCACAACCAUCCACCCAGGACUGGCAUUUCCUAGUCUCCAUUCAAAGCUAAAAGGCUGUAGAGUAGGCAGCCAGGAGAGCCCCUUCACAAGCUGGGCUGAGAUGGCCCACUCACAGCCUAACAGCUGGCUGCACAGCUGGAGGUGGAGAGCGGUGCUGAUAAAUACGACAGACAGACCCGUGCCUGCCACUGGAAGUGCAUGCCUUCCCAUCACAAGGAAGCAGAGCUGUCCAAAGGUCCACUUCUGGGCCUCUGGGUUGACUGCUCCCACCUCAGCCACCAACACGUAGGUCCUGCCUUCAGGAGUGGCUUGCCAGCUGUCUUCGCCCACCCAUCACCCAUCACCUGCCUGCGUGUGGAGAACAGCCUGCUCCAGCCUGGCCUCCUGAUCUCCUCCCCAAGGAAGAUAGAGCGAAUAGAAGAUCAGAUGAACUUCCUUCAAUCCUUUCCCCAAAAACAGUGGUUCUCAAGGUGUGGGCCCCACACCAGCAACAUCCCCAUCAUCCAGGAACUUGCUAGACAAGCUAAUUCAGGAACCCCAGCCCAGCCCUAUUGACUCAGCGGGGGCCCAGCAAUCUGAUUUAAAUAAGUCCUCCAGGAGAUUCUGCUGCAUGAACAAGCCCAGUGGGUGCUGCCAGAGAAAAACUCCCAGACCCUGGUUGUCUCUCCUCCUUCCUCAUCUACCUUGAAGGCAUCUAGUGAAUAUCUUUCCUCUGUGAAAUUCCAGGGUUGGCAUCUCACAUACCAAGGUUCCCAAAGUGUGAGUCUCACUGACAGUAGAUCAGACACUCUUCUAAAGUGCUUUCAUUACAUUGAACUUCUUUGAAUCACUGAAAAUAAUGCUUUUCUUCUAAGUCUGAACAUUUAACCUUCUGAAGCCAAAAUAAUUCAAAACCUCACAGUCUCAUCCCUAAUGAUUAGGCAACCUUACCUAGGGCUCUCAACUGAGUGCUUGUAUGUUAGUCCUAAAGGCUGGUUAGACACUGUAGUGGACAGGUAACCUCCCAUGUCUACAGCCAACUUUGGGCCUCCACAGUUUACUGACUGGCUGUGUGUACUUAUUUCCAGAGCAUUCCCCAGCAUUGCCUUCAGAGAUGUGUUUCACCAUCAUUAAGACUAGUAAUUUGGGGGCCAGUGCUGUGGCGCAGUGGGUUAAUGCCCUGGCCUGAAGCGCAGGCAUCCCAUAUGGGUGCCGGUUUGAGACCCAGCAGAUCCACUCGCGAUCCAGCUCUCUACUUUGGCCUAGGAAGCCAGUAGAAGAUGGCCCAAGUGCUUGGGCCCCUGCACCCAUGUGGGAGACCCGGAAGAAGCUCCUGGCUUUGGAUUGGUGCAGCUCCAGCUGUUGUGGCCAAUUGGGCAGUGAACCAUUGGAUGAAGAACCUCUCCCAGCCCUGCCUCUCCUCUCUCUGUGUAACUAUGAUUCUCAAAUAAAUAAAUAAAUCUUUAAAAAAAAGUAAUUUGG
ensembl:lncRNA